ensembl:miRNA Mir297-1 microRNA 297-1
AUAUGUAUGUAUGUAUGUAUGUGUGCAUGUGCAUGUAUGCAUAUUGCAUGUAUAUAUUAUGCAUACAUGU